AGAAUCUCAAGAGUGCGGUGUGUCAACACAAAGAAACGUGAAGUAAAAAUGUCUCCGGUGUUGUUCGCUGUGGACGUGAAAGAGCAUGUCUCCAAUCAGUCUGUAUUUUGAAAAGUUAUCUUUCAAAAAACAGCUAGAUUUGGUAGAUUCCUGAUGGCACAAGUUGCCCUGGAAAACUGAAAGAAAUGCAUCUCAAACUACAGUCCAAUAACAUGGUGUGUGCCAACUACAGUAUGUGAUUUUUUUAUAUUUUAUUGAUAAAUACACAUUAAAUGUAUAUAAAUCUGUGCUAAGCCACAGCACCUUCAUAAAGGAUACAUUAUUACACAUGCAGAUUCAUUAUCAUUCUACUGCAUUGUUAAAACAAAUUUAAGCAUAUUUAACACAAUUAUUUUUUUUUUUACCAACAGAUAUCUGAUUUAUUUCACAAACAUAUUUUCCUGUUUUCUAUAAAUAAAGACAAAACACCAAAUAUAUACAGUAUAGAAAAUGUUUGUAAUAACCUUUUAUAAAGCAUCAGAAUGUGGGAGCUAGAAGCUUGUUGUUUUCCCAAAUAUUUUAUCAGAUCCCCACAUUUUGUAUUUAUUUUUUAAUUUCACUAAUUUUAUUUUAUAAAUUGUUUGAGUUUAUUUUUAUUAAUUCUACCUAUACCUUAUUUAGUAAAUGUCAUGUAAGUAAAAAGUUAAGUCGCUUUAAGUUAAAAUUAUUUGUUGUUAUUCUUCUUACGUAAGUGUUGCCAUAUGGUGAUUUAA